UUCGCACUCGUUCGUUAAGUCUGUCUUGCUCGAUCUGUCCAAGCACAUGUCCAGGAAUCCCAUUUCUUUGUCUGUGUUUUAACACCAGAGAAUUGAAACAUGCACAUGAUGCUUUCAAUUAACCUUUUGGAUUAUUAGUUCAAAACUAACAUCCUAUUUGAUUAGAGCUAUUUUAGAGCUGUGCAGUGUGUGUGUGUGUGUUUGAAGAGAGUGGGCUAAUGGUUUUAAUAACAUUUACGAGAGCUUUGGUAUUUCCCCUACAGCUGCAUUCAUUCUCUGCAAAGUGCCAACCGCGUUCUGGACGUGAAGAGAGAAAAAAGUGGCUUUAAACAAAACAGAUGUGUCUCUACUACAGCAGUGACCUUCCAGCUUCAGUUUUGCUCUUGCUGUUUUCCCUCCACAAAGCCAAACAAUCAGCUCCGCUCAGGAACCGCAGACGGACCGUCUAAACGCGAAGCCGAGUGCAAGUCAUUAGCGUCCCGCUGGGCUCCGCGCAGGUCUUGAACUGACACCAAACGUCCCGACAGACCCGCGUCGAAACCGCUCAGUCUUUCCCAGACUGCAGCAAAUUCUCAAGGAAUCAAAGCCAUGAUGUUGCAGACCUUCAGCGAUCCACUCAUGUGAAAUAUCUCAAACGCAACAUGACCUUUUUCUUCAAAGAGCCACAAUUUAAACCAGAAGGCCUGCAAACCAGUAAAUAAACCUUCAUCUGAAGCGAAGCAAAUGCCUCUCCGACUCCCUAACCGCCGCGCGAGAGCGUUUUUAUCGGUGUUUUUCUGUAUCUACGGUGGCAGAGGGACACACACACA